rnacentral:rRNA from 1 species
UACGGGGGGGGGCAAGCGUUGUUCGGAAUUACUGGGCGUAAAGGGCUCGUAGGCGGCCAACUAAGUCAGACGUGAAAUCCCUCGGCUUAACCGGGGAACUGCGUCUGAUACUGGAUGGCUUGAGUUUGGGAGAGGGAUGCGGAAUUCCUGGUGUAGCGGUGGAAUGCGCAGAUAUCAGGAGGAACACCGGUGGCGAAGGCGGGAUCCUGGGCCAGUACUGACGCUGAGGAGCGAAAGCGUGGGGAGCAAACAGG